GACAGAGGUCCCGAGCGUUAGGCGGAAUCACUGGGCUUAAAGCGUGUGUAGGCGGAUUUGUAAGUACCUUGUGAAAGCCCACGGCUCAACCGUGGAAGAGCACUCGAAACUGCUGCGCUAGAGUUCUGGAGAGGAAGGCGGAAUGCUUGGUGUAGAGGUGAAAUUCGUAGAUAUCAAGCGGAACACCGGUGGCGAAGGCGGCCUUCUGGACAGUGACUGACGCUGAAACGCGAAAGCGUGGGGAGCAAACAGG
rnacentral:rRNA from 1 species